rnacentral:rRNA from 1 species
UACGUAGGGGGCAAGCGUUGUCCGGAAUCAUUGGGCGUAAAGAGCGCGUAGGCGGUCCAGUAAGUCCGCUCUGAAAGUCCGGGGCUCAACUCCGGAUCUGCGGUGGGUACGGGCAGACUAGAGUGAUGUAGGGGAGACUGGAAUUCCUGGUGUAGCGGUGAAAUGCGCAGAUAUCAGGAGGGACACCGAUGGCGAAGGCAGGUCUCUGGGCAGUAACUGACGCUGAGGAGCGAAAGCAUGGGGAGCGAACAGG